UUCCAAAAGUGCUUCUUUGUAGUCAAAGGUUGAGGCUUCUGCUGAAGAAAAACUUCCCAAACUUGUUCUCCAAAUUUUCCGAAUAAGACCAUCUUUUUGUUCUUAUCAGGAUCACGAUCAUCACUUAAUGUUUUAAAUAGAAAUCUAAAGGCCAAAAGCUACGAGCUAAAAUCUAAAAGUCCAUCUCUUUAUUUAAUCAGUUGUGGCCAGGAAGCAUGUAAUAUUUCAUGGCUGAAUGAGUUGGAUGACGGUUGAUGAGUUCAUAUUAUACUAUAUAUUUUACUCUAAUCUUAGUAUUAAUUUAUUGGUUAUUUUGGUAGAAUUUUGAUAUUUUAUUAUAUAUUUUCAAUGUAGGACAUUCAAUUUCCUCUUAAGCAAAAUGUGAUCAAACAGAUGAAUUUUGGAGUGAUUCUAAUUGAAGGAAGUUCGUGAGUCUUUCAAGAUGAUUGUAUCAAAAUUCCAGAAUUUUCUACUAAGCCGUUUGACCGUGGUGAAGAAAAGAAGGCCCAAAGCAACUUUCCCAGAUUAACGUUUCUGGACGUUUUGGGUAUUUUGGAGGUCAAAAUGACAUAUUUUGAGGAAGACUCCUUUUGAGGAAUUGUAGGGACGUUUCAAUUUUAAAAAAUAGACAUUUUGGGACCAAAUUAGAGUUGAUUUGGUCGGUCAAAAGUCUGAUUUUCUGAGAAGUCCGAAUUUCAGUUUAAAUAGGAAACCUUUUAUUUUCUAGUUAUAUUAUUCUAUUAUGUUUCCUAGUUUUUGGAAUACCUUUUCUGUAACGCCUUGCCCCCGAAAUACUUAUUUUUGGCAAAUAAUUCUGAUUAUAAACCCAAUUUAAACUCUUGUUUAAUUUACUACCAUUAAUCACAAUUUUUUACUUCAAUUCCUUAAUUCCUCACAAAACUAUAUCCAUAUUUUAAUUAUCAAAACACACAAUUAAAAUUAUCAAUUUAAUCCCCAAAUUUCUUCUAUUAAAACAACUUCUCAACAAAAGAUUAAUUCUCGAUUAUUUAGGGCUGCAUCUAACCUCUGUUAGACUGCCUACAUAUCCUUGAGUGGGAUCAAACCAUUCGUAGUUCACCAUUCAUUCUUUUAUCCAUUUCCAAAAAUAUUCUAGUAAUGGAAAUAUUCAACAUUAGCUUUCACAAUCGAAUCACACCAAAUGGGUACUAUAACGCCCCAGAAAUUUUGUACAAAAACUAUUCACGGUGAUAGGCCUAACAUAAAAUCAUGGUUAAUUAAUAUUCUACUUACCACCAUAAAUCAAAUUCGAUCAUUUCAUGACUAUAUAUAUAUAUAUAUAUAUAUAUAUAUAUAUAUAUAUAUAUAUAUAUAUAUAUAUAUAUAUAUAAUCACAUUUAAAUGGAAAUCACAUUUGUAUAACCAUUUCAUAUUCACAAACGAUAUUAAUGUAAGAAAUCAAGGUAAUAGCCAUAUCAAAUAAAUUCGAGUCACUCUCUGACCAAUGUAGGCCCACAAGACUUCACUUAGUACCUCGUAGUACUAAAUUUAAUAUUCAGAACGUUACAAGCCAUGUUGACCUAAAGUCAACUCUCGAACAACAAUAGGGUCCACAACCUUACGUAAUUCGAUCCGGAAGAUCUGCCCAUCGGAUUUCGAAUCUGUAACUUCCUAAGGUCUGCAUUAUGCUUAUGGAACGAUAUACUAAAUUCUCAUCGUGAUCCAAUGGUCGGAUCUCCACCAAUUACUAGGAUUAGGUGGCGGUCAACAAUUUAUUUCACAAACUUAGAAAUCCAAGUCGGAAAUAUCUGUAAGUCAGAUUUCCAAUCAGUUAGUUUCUAAUAUCCUCAAAUAUUACGUUCUAUAUUGCAUUAGAGUUUGGUGAUCAUCCAACGGUCGGAUCGUCAAUUCAAAUAAUAAUUAAGUAAUGCACCUUACUGAAGCUAGGUUCAUAAUAAUCAAAUCACAUACUAUGUGUGUCAAAUCUGAGAUCAAGAUAUCAAUUUAAUGUAAAAUAGCGUCAGUGGCCCAUUGGCCACGCGUCGCUACAGAUUGGGGUCAGCCAUCCUGACUCGCCGGAAAAUUCAACUAUUUCAAAAAUUACUAAAUUUUACAGGCAAGUAGAUCUCAGUGAGGGGAGAAUUUUUCAUACCUAUGACUAAGUCAAAUUUGGCCAGGAAAAGCUCCAAUUUCCCUCGAACCUGCCAGAUCCCUAUAAUUUGGGUGUUCUUCAAUUCGACCAAUCGGCAACACCACCGCCCCUAAAAUUGUUUGGGCUUUGUUCCUGGCCU
rnacentral:lncRNA from 1 species